rnacentral:tRNA from 1 species
UGCGGGAUCGUCUAACGGCAGGACGCUAGACUCUGGAUCUAGUAGUGAUGGUUCGAAUCCAUCUCCCGCAGCCA